rnacentral:rRNA from 1 species
AGAUUAAGUUAUUAAGGGCGCACGGUGGAUGCCUUGGCACUAGAAGCCGAUGAAGGACGUUACUAACAACGAUAUGCUUUGGGGAGCUGUAAGUAAGCUUUGAUCCAGAGAUUUCCGAAUGGGGAAACCCAGCAUGAGUUAUGUCAUGUUAUCGAUAUGUGAAUACAUAGCAUAUCAGAAGGCACACCCGGAGAACUGAAACAUCUUAGUACCCGGAGGAAGAGAAAGAAAAUUCGAUUCCCUUAGUAGCGGCGAGCGAAACGGGAAGAGCCCAAACCAACAAGCUUGCUUGUUGGGGUUGUAGGACACUCUAUACGGAGUUACAAAGGACGACAUUAGACGAAUCAUCUGGAAAGAUGAAUCAAAGAAGGUAAUAAUCCUGUAGUCGAAAAUGUUGUCUCUCUUGAGUGGAUCCUGAGUACGACGGAGCACGUGAAAUUCCGUCGGAAUCUGGGAGGACCAUCUCCUAAGGCUAAAUACUCUCUAGUGACCGAUAGUGAACCAGUACCGUGAGGGAAAGGUGAAAAGCACCCCGGAAGGGGAGUGAAAUAGAACCUGAAACCGUGUGCUUACAAGUAGUCAGAGCCCGUUAAUGGGUGAUGGCGUGCCUUUUGUAGAAUGAACCGGCGAGUUACGAUUUGAUGCAAGGUUAAGCAGUAAAUGUGGAGCCGUAGCGAAAGCGAGUCUGAAUAGGGCGUUUAGUAUUUGGUCGUAGACCCGAAACCAGGUGAUCUACCCUUGGUCAGGUUGAAGUUCAGGUAACACUGAAUGGAGGACCGAACCGACUUACGUUGAAAAGUGAGCGGAUGAACUGAGGGUAGCGGAGAAAUUCCAAUCGAACCUGGAGAUAGCUGGUUCUCUCCGAAAUAGCUUUAGGGCUAGCCUCAAGUGAUGAUUAUUGGAGGUAGAGCACUGUUUGGACGAGGGGCCCCUCUCGGGUUACCGAAUUCAGACAAACU